rnacentral:lncRNA from 1 species
UCCGUGGCCGCAUGCGUCCAUAGCUCCACAUAGAUUUUGUUGCUUGUGAACAUUUCAUCCCAUCCAUCAAACCGUGGUCUUACAUCCCGAUGUCUGGGGGUCCCACAUCGCCGGCACCAAGUACUUGCGCCCAUUUAUCCCGUGAGCGUUGUAGCUCGCUCCACUUACCUUAUCCACCAAGACCCGACCCGGAUAUCCCGGAUAAGAACCUGACCCAAACACACCCGUACAUGCCGUGGCCGCCUCAAUCGGCGCCGUUGGCGGGCCUUGGAAAUACCCGUUAUUGAACGGGUUAGUGACGGUGUUGGCCAAAAGGGUAGCUAAAUUGAUAAUCAUUCCAUCAACGCCGACGUCUCCGUUAGGCGCGACUAAUGGCGGGGUUUGAGGGCCGUAAAUGGGCUGGUGGAAAGGCCAGGCACAGUAGCCAGGGCACUGAGUCUCGGAGUUUCCAACCCAGAUAUAGGUUCCACGGCUGGCCAACCCACGACCCGGCAGAGCAGACCCGUGGGUCCCACACCUGUUCAUGCAGAAGCCGUCCACGGCCACAUCCUUCGCCGUCAAAACGACGUUAAUUGACGUAGGGAGAGUGUUCGUUACUUUCUUGGACAAAGCAAGCAAAUGAACCUUCUUCAGUGCUUUGCCAAGGGAGUAGUUUUCCAAGAGGACUUGAUGCCGUACGACGAGGUUAGACGAACCUCCUUUGUAAUUUUCAGUUGUUUUCCACCACGAUGACGUGGAGGGCUGCGGGGCCCUGUUGAAAUUUAGGGAGUGGAUGAAGUCAACUAUUAUCGAGCGUUGGAUGGGAGUGAACUUGCCGUACCAGAUGAGAUUAACGGUGA